rnacentral:lncRNA from 1 species
AAAAGGGGACGCGGAGGAGAAGGAAAGUCGCUCAAGCAGUGGACAGAGCGGAGAAAGCGACUUCGGGUCUGCUGGAGUUUGCUGGAGGUGCACUCCAGACUCUGUUUGCCUGCCUAUCACCAACAGAGGCUGCAGAACAGCAAAGAUUGCUGUCUGUAACUUCCUCUGGAAGCUUCAUCCCAGAGGGGCACCUGCCAGAUGCCAGCCGGAGCUCUCCUCUAUGAGGUCUAAAUGCUAGACCUAGUGACUGUGGCAACUAUCUCUCACUGAUGUUCCAGAAAGAGAAGAACUCCUUCCUGCUAGACUUUCUUCGAUAUUUCAGUUGUGAUAAGCAGAUUUAACUAGCGUUUGGAAAGUUGCUCACUAUCAUCAAUGCAUGUUAUGCCUUCACUUCUCUGGAUUUGAAGCUCUUGCUGCUUGCUGCCUUGUCAUUCUUUAUUUAUGCUGACUUGUCCAUACACAAAAGCCUGCUGAAGUCCUGUCUUAGUGAGUUUCAUUUGAUCCACACUGUACUUAAAAAGCACAUCUUACAUCCUUUAAAGCUGGUUAAAUCGCUCUCCUCAUGGCUUACUUUUCCACACUGUUCACAAGAGCUAAGCUAAUACAACUUAUAAACAGGUCACAUACACAGAUUUCACCUACUUAUAUGUUGUAAACAUCAACUUACUGUAAAUGUUUUCACUAUAAUGCUAGUUCCAGAACAUAAAUUUUCUUAUUAUUUCUAAGAGCAAUUCUAGGGAAAGUUACAUUCUGUGUUGGAGUUUCCUUUCCUCAAGUCUUCCAUAGUCUUUUAAAAGUGUUACUCUACACUGUGGAAUUGAGGGAAACAUUAUUUCCUCUUUAAGGUUAAAGUGGGGACAUCAGCAGACUCUCCAGUGAAUUAAUCCUCAGCAGAGUGGUGUCUCCAAAGGAGUAAUCCAGAAGAGGCAGUACCACAGCGAUGAGAGGAGGGGCAGGUAGAACAUAUGGAGGAAAUUAUUCCUGAUCAUGGCUGUGGCAACUCACUAGGAAACUCCCAGAAAUUAUACUGGGAGUGGCAGAAGUAAAAGAAUAUACUUUCAACUUCCAGCUAGUAGGCCAGUGGGGCUCACAUCGUAAUAACUUGGGUAAGAAUAAUCUCUGAUAGUAUGCACAGGCUGGUCAGGCUGGUGACAUAUGGGUUAUAUUCAGUAUAUAAUUUUGAAUUACUUUGGAUAGCUUAAGGAUGGCCGUGAAUUUACUUGGUUUAUAAUCAGAGAAGUGUUUAUUUAUAAAUAAUCUAUCUAUCACUAACUGAUACCUUAGUAAGAAAAAAAGUUAACUCAAAUCCUCCUCUCCUUCACAUUUUAGGGAAAUGCAGUAGAAUAUAAAAAUAAAUUAUAACAAGUUAUGGAGGACAUCUGUUUAAAAAUGGACCACAAGGAUAUCAGAUUUGAAUAAUUUCUCAUUUUCUCUUUGCACAGAAUUUUAUUGAAUCAGCAAGACUAUAUCCUUUCUAAAAAUAAAUUCAUCAAAAGAGCAUCAUUUCCUUAAAGUCAUUCCUUAUGCUAUUGUAAAUGGCAUUUUUAAAACUUAAAAUAUUGAGAUAUAAUUUAUAUGCCAUAAAAUUAGCCAUUUAAAAAGGUACACUUCAGUGGUUUUAAAUAUAUUCACAAAGCUGGGCAACCAUCUCCACUAUCUAAUUCCAAGACAUAUUUGUUAUCCCCCAAAGAAACCUCGUACCCAUUUGCAGUCACUCUCUAUUAUCCCCUUCCCUGAUCCCCUGGUAAGCACUAAUCUACUUUCCAUCUUUAUAGAUUUGUCUAUUCUGUAUUUAUAUGAAUGAAAUCAUACAUAUGUGGCCAUUAGUGUCAGGCUUCUUUCACUAAGUAUAAUGUUUUCCGGUAUCAUUCAUGUCAUAGUAGUAUGUAUUAGUUCUUCAUUCCUUUUUAUGGUUGAAUAAAAAUUUAUUGUAUGGCUGCACCACAUUUUGGAUAUCUAUUCAUCAGCUGCUGGAAUUUGAGUUUCUACUUUUUGACUAUUAUGAAAUAACUCUGCUAUGAACAUAUCUGUACAAUUUUUGUAUAAACAUUUUUUCAAUUAUUUUGGACAUACAUCUAGGAGAGGAAUUCCUGGAUCACUUGGUAAUUCUAUGUUUAAUUUUUAAGCAGCUAUCAAACUGUUUUCCAUGGUGGCUGCACUGUUUUAUAUACCUACCAGCUAUGUAUGGUUCUAAUUUCUCUGCAUCCUCACCAACACUUGUUAUUUUCCAAGUUUUUUUUCAUUAUAUUCAUCCUAUGAGGUGCAAAGCGAUGUCCUGUUUUGGUUUCUAUUCGCAUUUUCUUGCUGACUAAUAAUGUUGAGCAUUGUUUUCGUCUUUCAUCUGUUUAUUGACCAUUUGUAUAUCUUCUUUGUAAAAUUGUCUGUUUAAAUUCCUAUUUAAAAAUUGGGCCAUCAUUUUUAUUAUUGAGUUGUAAGAGUUCUUUACUCUGGAUACUAAAUCUUUAUCAGAUACAUGAUUUGCAAAUAUUUUCUUCCAUUCUAUGGGUUACCUUUUUUCCUUUCUUUCUCCUUUCCUUCCCCUUCCCCUUCCCUUCCCUUCAUUUUGAGACAGCAUCUCACUCUGUCACUCAGGCUGGAGUGCAGUGGCAUGAUUAUGGCUCACUGCAACCUCAACCUUUCAGGCUCAAGUGAUCCUACUGCCUUAGCCUCUAGAGUAGCUGGGACCACAGGUGCAUGCCACCACACGCAGCUAAUUUUUAAAUUUUUUUGUAGAGAUGGGGUCUCACUAUGUUGCCCAGACUGAUCUUCAACUCCUGGCUCAAGUGGUCUGCCUGCUUCUGCCUCCCAAAGUGCUGGGAUUACAGGCAUGAGCCAGCAUGCCUAGCCAGAUCUUUUAAAAUGAAAUGUAGGCAUUUACAGAUACAGGUUUACCUGAGUCCUGUUCCACUGAAUUCCACACUUUUGAUAUAUUGUGUUUUUGUCUUCAGUUAAAGAAUUUCCCAAUUUCCUUUCUGAGAUUUCCUUUGACCCAUUGAUUAUUUUGAACUGUGUUUUACACAUGUUCCACAUAUUUGUGAUCCCCAAUUUCCUUCUGCUAUGAAUUUCCAGUUUCAUUCCAUUGUCAUCAGAGAACAUACUUAGUAUGCUUUUAAUCCCUUAAAUUAAUGAGACUUGUUUUAUGGCCUAACCUGACCUUUCCUGGGGAAUGUUUCAUGUGCACUUGAGAAGAAUGUAUUAUAUAUUUUUCUGUGAUUAAGUGAAAUGUUCUUUAGAUAUCUGUUAGGUCUAGUUGGUUUAUAGCAUUGUUCAAGAC